rnacentral:rRNA from 1 species
ACAUGCAAGUCGAACGGCAGCACGGACUUCGGUCUGGUGGCGAGUGGCGAACGGGUGAGUAAUAUAUCGGAACGUAUCCAAUAAUGGGGGAUAACUAAUCGAAAGGUUGGCUAAUACCGCAUACGCCCUACGGGGGAAAGCUAGGGACCUUCGGGCCUGGCGUUAAUGGAGCGGCCGAUAUCUGAUUAGCUAGUUGGUGGGGUAAAGGCCCACCAAGGCGACGAUCAGUAGCUGGUCUGAGAGGACGACCAGCCACACUGGAACUGAGACACGGUCCAGACUCCUACGGGAGGCAGCAGUGGGGAAUUUUGGACAAUGGGCGCAAGCCUGAUCCAGCCAUUCCGCGUGAGUGAAGAAGGCCUUCGGGUUGUAAAGCUCUUUCGCAAGGGAAGAAAGAUUACUCUCUAACAUAGAGUGAUUAUGACGGUACCUUGAUAAGAAGCACCGGCUAACUACGUGCCAGCAGCCGCGGUAAUACGUAGGGUGCGAGCGUUAAUCGGAAUUACUGGGCGUAAAGCGUGCGCAGGCGGUUUUGUAAGUCAGAUGUGAAAUCCCCGAGCUCAACUUGGGAACUGCGUUUGAAACUACAAGACUAGAAUAUGUCAGAGGGGGGUAGAAUUCCACGUGUAGCAGUGAAAUGCGUAGAGAUGUGGAGGAAUACCAAUGGCGAAGGCAGCCCCCUGGGAUAAUAUUGACGCUCAUGCACGAAAGCGUGGGGAGCAAACAGGAUUAGAUACCCUGGUAGUCCACGCCCUAAACGAUGUCUACUAGUUGUUGGUGGAGUAAAAUCCAUGAGUAACGCAGCUAACGCGUGAAGUAGACCGCCUGGGGGAGUACGAUCGCAAGAUUAAAACUCAAAUGAAUUGACGGGGGUCCG